UACAGAGGGUGCGAGCGUUAAUCGGAAUCACUGGGCGUAAAGCGCACGUAGGUGGCUUUGCAAGUCGGAUGUGAAAUCCCCGGGCUUAACCUGGGAACUGCAUUCGAGACUGCAUUACUAGAGUAUGGGAGAGGGAGGCGGAAUUUCCGGUGUAGCGGUGAAAUGCGUAGAUAUCGGAAGGAACAUCAGUGGCGAAAGCGGCCUCCUGGACCAAUACUGACACUCAUGUGCGAAAGCGUGGGGAGCAAACAGG
rnacentral:rRNA from 1 species